UAUUAAAGUUGUUGCAGUUAAAAAGCUCGUAGUUGAAUUUCGGGAUCAAUACGUCGGUCGUGCUUUCGGGUACGUACUGGCGUCAUUGGUUUCUCCUUUCUGACGAACCAUGAUGUCAUUAAUUUGGUGUUAUGGGGAGUUAGGACUGUUACUUUGAAAAAAUUAGAGUGUUUAAAGCAGGCAUUAGCUUGAAUACGUUAGCAUGGAAUAAUGAAAUAGGACGUUCGAUCCUAUUUUGUUGGUUUCUAGGAUCAACGUAAUGAUUAAUAGGGAUAGUUGGGGGCAUUAGUAUUCAAUUGUCAGAGGUGAAAUUCUUGGAUUUAUUGAAGACUAACUACUGCGAAAGCAUUUGCCAAGGAUGUUUUCAUUAAUCAAGAACGAAAGUUAGGGGAUCGAAGACGAUCAGAUACCGUCGUAGUCUUAACCAUAAACUAUGCCGACUAGGGAUCGGAUGAUGUUAAUUUUUAAUGACUCAUUCGGCGCCUUACGGG
rnacentral:rRNA from 1 species